rnacentral:lncRNA from 1 species
ACCAUCAGAUUUUUCUCCAAGUUACUUUUCUCAGUUCUCACUUAGAGAAUACUAUAGGACAUUCUACUGUAGUUCUGUGAACUUGAGAAGUCAAGCAGUUCAUGCAUGAGUUGUCUCACACCGAAAUCUAUGCAAACCUCUCACGUUUGGUGAUGGCAGAUGUGCCACGAAACUCGGUCAGAGUCACAUGCCCAUCAAGCUUGCUUGCAUAAGUUCGCGACCAAGAGUACAUUCUAAUGUUUUCAGUCAACGUGUCGUUCAUUUCUCUCUUCCACAAAUUCAUUGCUUCACUUGAAGCAUUACGUUGACUAGUUGCUGAAUGUUGACCGGUGGCCUCCGAGGAGCCAGUGUACAUUCCGUCGAGCAUAUGCGAUCAAUAAUAACUCUUAAAAACAUAAAGAAUUUUUCGUUAUUUCAAAGAAAAAUAUACGAUGUGCUCUGUUAAACUGUUCCAAGACAAUACGCACAUGAUAUCUUGUAACC